GAGAAAAUGAUGAUCCGUAUGAUUAUUCUAAAAGAUUUGAGGUUUCAAAAUUGAGCUUUUUAAACCUGAUGCCCA
rfam:Hordeum vulgare subsp. vulgare, WGS project CAJW01000000 data, contig: morex_contig_141671